GAUGAACGCUGACAGAAUGCUUAACACAUGCAAGUCUACUUGAACUUCGGUUUGGGUGGCGGACGGGUGAGUAACGCGUAAAGAACUUGCCUCACAGUUAGGGACAACAUUUGGAAACGAAUGCUAAUACCUGAUAUUAUGAUUUUAGGGCAUCCUAAGAUUAUGAAAGCUAUCUGCGCUGUGAGAGAGCUUUGCGUCCCAUUAGCUAGUUGGAGAGGUAACGGCUCACCAAGGCGAUGAUGGGUAGCCGGCCUGAGAGGGUGAACGACCACAAGGGGACUGAGACACGGCCCUUACUCCUACGGGAGGCAGCAGUGGGGAAUAUUGGACAAUGGACCAAAAGUCUGAUCCAGCAAUUCUGUGUGCACGAUGACGUUUUUCGGAAUGUAAAGUGCUUUCAGUUGGGAAGAAAAAAAUGACGGUACCAACAGAAGAAGUGACGGCUAAAUACGUGCCAGCAGCCGCGGUAAUACGUAUGUCACAAGCGUUAUCCGGAUUUAUUGGGCGUAAAGCGCGUCUAGGUGGUUAUGUAAGUCUGAUGUGAAAAUGCAGGGCUCAACUCUGUAUUGCGUUGGAAACUGCAUGACUAGAGUACUGGAGAGGUAAGCGGAACUACAAGUGUAGAGGUGAAAUUCGUAGAUAUUUGUAGGAAUGCCGAUGGGGAAGCCAGCUUACUGGACAGAUACUGACGCUAAAGCGCGAAAGCGUGGGUAGCAAACAGG
rnacentral:rRNA from 1 species